rnacentral:rRNA from 1 species
CCUACGGGAGGCUGCAGUGGGGAAUAUUGGACAAUGGGGGCAACCCUGAUCCAGCCAUGCCGCGUGUGUGAAGAAGGCCCUCGGGUUGUAGAGCACUUUCAGUGAGGAAGAACGCCUGGUGGUUAAUACCCAUCAGGAAAGACAUCACUCACAGAAGAAGCACCGGCUAACUCCGUGCCAGCAGCCGCGGUAAUACGGAGGGUGCGAGCGUUAAUCGGAAUUACUGGGCGUAAAGCGCGCGUAGGUGGCUUGAUAAGCCGGUUGUGAAAGCCCCGGGCUCAACCUGGGAACGGCAUCCGGAACUGUCAAGCUAGAGUGCAGGAGAGGAAGGUAGAAUUCCCGGUGUAGCGGUGAAAUGCGUAGAGAUCGGGAGGAAUACCAGUGGCGAAGGCGGCCUUCUGGACUGACACUGACACUGAGGUGCGAAAGCGUGGGUAGCAAACAGGAUUAGAUACCCCUGUAGUC